ensembl:snoRNA
UGCACCCUGGCAGUGGGCAAAGAGACACCGUAUUGGUGGUGGUGGCCUUAUAUCAGUCAGGGGCAGAGCAGAUAGUAGCCUUUCGUUCAUCCUAGCUUGAUGCCUGGCUUGGUGGCCAAAGCUGUUUCAUGCCUAGGGCACAUUA